UGGGGAAUUUUGGACAAUGGGCGAAAGCCUGAUCCAGCAAUGCCGCGUGUGUGAAGAAGGCCUUCGGGUCGUAAAGCACUUUUGUCCGGAAAGAAAUCCUUGGCUCUAAUACAGUCGGGGGAUGACGGUACCGGAAGAAUAAGCACCGGCUAACUACGUGCCAGCAGCCGCGGUAAUACGUAGGGUGCAAGCGUUAAUCGGAAUUACUGGGCGUAAAGCGUGCGCAGGCGGUUUGCUAAGACCGAUGUGAAAUCCCCGGGCUCAACCUGGGAACUGCAUUGGUGACUGGCAGGCUAGAGUAUGGCAGAGGGGGGUAGAAUUCCACGUGUAGCAGUGAAAUGCGUAGAGAUGUGGAGGAAUACCGAUGGCGAAGGCAGCCCCCUGGGCCAAUACUGACGCUCAUGCACGAAAGCGUGGGGAGCAAACAGGAUUAGAUACCCCGGUAGUCCACGCCCUAAAACGAUGUCAACUAGUUGUUGGGGAUUCAUUUCCUUAGUAACGUAGCUAACGCGUGAAGUUGACCGCCUGGGGAGUACGGUCGCAAGAUUAAAACUCAAAUGAAUUGACGGGGUCAUAGCUGUUUCCU
rnacentral:rRNA from 1 species